GGUGCAAUAUUUUUGCAACGUUCUCUCGUGCAUUCUAUCUUCUCCUUCCCUCGCCAAGCUGAUGGUUUUGAUCUUUCAAACUUCCCUCAUUUUCUGUGAACUUUUAUUCGUUGUUAUUUUCCCCCCAAUUUGUGCAUGCAUUUUUUGGCGCUGUACCGGGGGAUUUUGGAGUUCAUAGUGAUGGCUGCUGAUACUUAGUCCCUUGAAAUCCUUCCUCAUCGUCCAUUACUUGGCGAAGAUGAGAAGGGUGGGUUUGUUUGUUUAUAUCGAGAGGCUAAAAAUGGGUUAGAAUUUUUGAAGCAUAUAAGGAUUCAGCGAAUAAAUUCAGUAACUGUGACUGAUAGUGGAUAUGUUACAAACACAAUGCAUAGAAGUGGAGGAGAUGCUUUAAGAACUUCAACAUCGUGUGAUCCUUCGCCGUUCAUCAUCCGUUUCCAAAAACGGAGGGUACUGCGUGGAUCAGAAGAGGAAACUCUACACUUUUAGUAGAUCAGAUCGUCGUUUCGGAGAGUUUCGGGUUUUCCCAAGAAUCGAGGUUUUCAGGAUCUCGAGUUGUCGUUUUGGACCGUUUUCGUACGAAAUUUCAUUUCGAAUAUAAGGUCCAUCCGUGCGUCGGUCCUAGUAGAUAAAAGGACUAGGGAGGUUAUUUUGGUUAGCUUACGUAAGCAUCUAAAUUUUUGUACUAAACUUGAUGAAAGUCAUUUUUGGAGGGUUGUAAUAUGUCGAUUACUCUAAGUCCGAAUGUAUGUAAAUUAUGGAUGUAUUUGUGAACUCUGGUAUAAGGCUAGUAGUAAUCCCAAUGGAUGUUUAUGUUUUUCCGCGACAUUUACAUCAUGAUUAUGUAUGUUUUACACCCGUAUGUCCCUGUUUAGGACGGGUUGUUUCCAUAUCUUGAACAGGUAUAGGUAUUUGAUGUAUGUGAGUGACACCUGAGUCCGUGUAAAGGGCCGGGUCGUUACAGAGAGGUGUUUUGGGAUCCUUUGUCUUAUCUGAAAGGAUAAGCGCUCAAACUUCAAGAUAUGGUAAUGUCCCUUCCAAGUGUUUGCAUGCAAUGAAUUGAAAUUAUUCGUCUAUUGGUAUUU